rnacentral:miRNA from 1 species
UUUGCUCUUGAUCUACGUGUGUGCGCAUGUGCCUGUGUAUAUUUAUGUGAAGGGUGUAUAUGGGUGGGCAUGCACUUAUGCAUGUG